rnacentral:rRNA from 1 species
UACGGGGGGGGCAAGCGUUGUUCGGAAUUACUGGGCGUAAAGGGCUCGUAGGCGGCCAACUAAGUCGGAUGUGAAAUCCCCAGGCUCAACUUGGGAACUGCAUCCGAUACUGGAUGGCUUGAAUUCGGGAGAGGGAUGCAGAAUUCCAGGUGUAGCGGUGAAAUGCGUAGAUAUCUGGAGGAAUACCGGUGGCGAAGGCGAGUCUCUGGACAGCAACUGACGCUGAGGCACGAAGGCCAGGGGAGCAAACGGG